CGGCGGACGGGUGAGUAACACGUGGGUAACCUACCUAUAAGACUGGGACAACUUCGGGAAACCGGAGCUAAUACCGGAUAAGAUAUCGAACCGCAUGGUUCGAUAGUGAAAGAUGGUUUUGCUAUCACUUAUAGAUGGACCCGCGCCGUAUUAGCUAGUUGGUGAGGUAACGGCUCACCAAGGCAACGAUACGUAGCCGACCUGAGAGGGCGAUCGGCCACACUGGAACUGAGACACGGUCCAGACUCCUACGGGAGGCAGCAUCG
rnacentral:rRNA from 1 species